rnacentral:rRNA from 1 species
AUGAACGCUGGCGGCGUGCUUAACACAUGCAAGUCGAACGGUGAACGAGGGAGCUCGCUCCCUCCUGACCAGUGGCGAACGGGUGAGUAACACGUGAGCAAUCUGCCCAUGACUCGGGGUUAAGCGUUGGAAACGUCGUCUAUAACCGGAUACGAGGCGAGGGGGAAUACGCAACGCCUGGAACGAACUUCGGUCCAGGAUGGGCUCGCGGCCUAUCAGGUAGUGGGUGAGGUAAUGGCUCACCAAGCCUACGACGGGUAGCCGGCCUGAGAGGGUGACCGGACACACUGGGACUGAGACACGGCCCAGACUCCUACGGGAGGCAGCAGUGAGUAAUUUUCCGCAAUGGGCGAAAGCCUGACGGAGCGACGCCGCGUGGAGAAUGAAGGUUUUCGGACUGUAAACACCUUUUAUGUGGGAAGAUUAUGACGUUACCACAUGAAUAAGCACCGGCUAACUACGUGCCAGCCGCCGCAGUAA